ACUGAUGACAAAAUUCUUAAAAUGUUGCAUUUUAGAGACAAAAUUUCGGUAACUAAUGGAAAUUUAUGGAUUUUUCCCAUCGAAAAAUUUUCCAUUGUGGCGUGACAUUUUAACCACCCUGUAUAAUAAACACAAUCAACCCUGAACUUGUCGAACCAUUCAACAAGGCUUGCAAAUAUAUUUAUGGUGGAAGCUUAACAACAGAUUUGAUAUCGCCGUCUGAAAUUUACGCGAGCUAUAGAAAUGUACUUGAAUCAACGUCAAGGGCUGAUGCGACGGCUAGAACGGCUCCUAGACGGAGUAUUCUGAAACUAUUGAAAGAAAAAUGUGUUAUUGUUUGAGACAUUGAAUUUAUUAAUUUGCAUCUCCCUCUUAGCUUGUAAGUAAAAGGAUUAAGUAACAAGCUUAUCGAUGGGAUAAAAUGAAGUAUAUUUAUUUGGUUCAUUCCGACAAUCAAAUUAUAUCUUUGUAAAACUUGGGGUUAAAAAUUCUGGAUAAUAAAAAAUCGGUGUGUAAAUA